ACAGCUUCUCGCUGGCAGUUCCUCUCCUGUGCCUCCACACCGCAGCUCUCACUGAGCCCAGGGGAUGCUGCCCCUUCUCUUGCCCUCCAGCCCUAGGGUGGCAAUGGUGCCCUCCUGGGCUAGUCUGGUUCCUUGACCUCUCUUGUAGGGUUCAGUGACCCUGACCACAUCUCUGUCAGUCACUAAAACUCUACAUUUUGUUGAGCUUAUCUGGAGUGAAUUCUGUAUCCUGCCAGGGCUCUGACUGAUGCAGCUGGAGAAAAGGUGAAAUUCCCAGGUCUCUGGAAAUGUGUGUUGUCUAUUUUAAUACAUGGCUCCAAAUUGCCCUUCUAGUCACGUGAAAGCUUGCCUGACCAGGCCGUUGGGCAGUCCUGCAGAGAGAUGGGGACGUGGGCUCCCUCUACGGCACUGGCGUCUGGCUCCUGAGGUGCAACCUCAGAUUCUGGAGCUGGUGUUCUGGCUGAUCAACAAAUGCCAGGACACUGAGCCACCUCCAGCUGGACGCAUGCCCAGGAGCACGUGAGGGACCCAGGCCACUACCAGCCACUGUCAGCUGAGACCAGCCUGGGUCACCUUCCCCUGUCCUGCUCAGAGGCAGACCGAAACCUGACAAGCAUGUUUUCACCAACCUGAGAGUUUCGGCCUCUCUUUGGGGACUGUUUGUGUUUCAGGUCACGCUGUCAGCUGCCCCCACCCUCAUCUUUCCUCUGCCAAAGUGACAUUCCCCUGGCUGCCAGGCCUCCAGGAACCUGGCGGUUCCUGUCCUGAGCUGCCCAGUGGGAAUCUCCUUUUCCGAUUCCAGGCACUUCAGUAUCCUCUGUUACAUUUCAGAACCUCAUCAUAGCCCAGCAAAUGGGAGGUGCGGCCUUCAUCUUACAGACACAAGGCCCAGCAAGGGAGGGCAAUUUGCCCAAGGUCACACAGCAAGUUAGGGGCUAGGAUAACCUGAAAACUGACCCCCAGCCCAGCAUCCACUUCAUCCACCCUCCAAACUCAACCACCAGACAGGGAUCAGACCUGCAGCAAUCCCUCCACUCAUUCAUUAACAAACACAGAAACUUAACUGGCACCAGCUACAGAGGGUUGGCCUUUGACCAAACCCUGCCCACUGCCUGUUUUUGUAAAUAAAAUUUUGCUGGAACACAGCUACUCCCAUCCAUCUGCGUUUGUCGUCCACCCUAUCCACAGUUUCCCUUUCCGCGCUUUCAGUAUCACAGAGGCAUUUUAUCAUCUUACACCAUCACGAGAUGAGGAAAGAAGUUUGCCAAUGAUUUGCUUCUGAAAACCGACAAAUGCAGCUGCUGAGAUGCUCUUGUGUCUUGGUUUGGGUUGCCCCAGAAGCCAACUCUGAGACACCAUGGAUACCAAAAUGCACCAUUUUUCCAAGGCUUAUGCUUCAUCCAGAUGGUCAAUGCCUUACGGAUUUACAGUUUGGAGUCUCUCAAUUGCAGCCCAGAGGCACUCAUGGUUUUCAUUGCAGGACUCCGUAUUUUCAGGUUAUGGAAAAGGUACAGAGAUAUAACACAGCUGAUCUAAUCUGUUGUUCAUGGACAUCUCUUCCAGCCCAGCGCUGAGAAAAGUUUCACACGUUUUAUCAACAGGCUAAUUUUGUUGAGGAGGGAACAGUGGACCAAAGAAGUCAAGUGAUCUAAGAGCCCAGUCCAGGAGUUAGCUUGAGUUUGAAACCUGCUUCCACCAUCAGAGGGAUCACCGUGAGCACUUCACUGAUGUCCUGGCACCACAGACAGAUGAAAAGUUAACUGGGAUUUCUUGCCUCCACAAAAGCAUCUUUCAUCCCACAACCGACUCCAGAUUGGAGGGAAGAUUUCACUAUACAGCGGCGAGACAAGGGGCUCUGUUGAAAUCCUUGCCCAUUUCUGAGCAUUCCUACUGUGAUCCUGAAGCCUCGGGGGACAGGCACAGGAAUCUGACAAUAGGAACACUAAUACGUUUAGGGAUAGAGAAACAGGACAACACCUAGACAGGACUGGGGCUGGCCCUGGAGGAGCAGGCACCAUCGCGGGGCUGACAGGUGCUCUGUGAUGCUGACCCACUGGUGACUCUCAAAGGGGAGUAGGCACGCACGGGAGAGGCAGCUCCAGUCCAGCUGCUAGCAGGAAGGAGGGCAGGGUCAUCCUGACUGAGUCUGCCUGAGUGCAGGCACUCGACCCUGUGAGGGGAAACAACUCAGUGAGCCGUGUCGGCAGCUGUGGAGCACCUUUCCAUCCACCCUUCCACCUCCUGCAGCCCCUGCCCACCCCUGCCCUCCCUGAGAUCUGGUCACGUGCUCUGGAGGUGAAGGACCAAGAGAACAA